GGCUGACCCAGGGACAUGGCUGUCUCCUUCCUCAUCUGCCUACCCGGGCUGGGGCUCCCCUGGGGUGUCCUGUCCCAGGUGCAGCUGCAGGAGUCGGGCUCCACGGUGGUGCAGCCCUCCCAGACCUUGUCCCUCACCUGUGCCAUCUCUGGGGAC